GAUGAACGCUGGCGGCGUGCCUAAUACAUGCAAGUCGAGCGAACAGACGAGGAGCUUGCUCCUCUGACGUUAGCGGCGGACGGGUGAGUAACACGUGGAUAACCUACCUAUAAGACUGGGAUAACUUCGGGAAACCGGAGCUAAUACCGGAUAAUAUAUUGAACCGCAUGGUUCAAUAGUGAAAGACGGUUUUGCUGUCACUUAUAGAUGGAUCCGCGCCGCAUUAGCUAGUUGGUAAGGUAACGGCUUACCAAGGCAACGAUGCGUAGCCGACCUGAGAGGGUGAUCGGCCACACUGGAACUGAGACACGGUCCAGACUCCUACGGGAGGCAGCAGUAGGGAAUCCUCCGCAAUGGGCGAAAGCCUGAAGGAGCAACGCCGCGUGAGUGAUGAAGGUCUUCGGAUCGUAAAACUCUGUUAUUAGGGAAGAACAAAUGUGUAAGUAACUAUGCACGUCUUGACGGUACCUAAUCAGAAAGCCACGGCUAACUACGUG
rnacentral:rRNA from 1 species